GGCGUCUUUUGCCCAGGCGGAGCUCGACCGCCCGUUCAGGCGAUGAAGGCUUUCAUCGACGACCAUCGCGAUGUCGACGGGGUCGAGCCGAUCUACAAAGUUCUGCCGAUCGCUCCC
rfam:Aureimonas ureilytica strain NS365 contig_74, whole genome shotgun sequence.